AUGGGUAUGUUACUUGGCUGCUGGAAAGGUCAUGUUACUGAAGACAAAGCAGAUACCUGUUACCACUACUUUAAUGGUUUGAUGAUUCAGAGGCAUUGGAGAUAUACACAUAAAAAUAACAGAGUGCUUAAAGGAGACACAGCUAGUCAGAUAAGCAUUUGUAAAUAGUCCAGAACACCAUGGGAGUGUAAACAGAACAUGAACACCUACCUCAAGCUCAAGCCAACACUUGAUCUGAAUCUUAAAGUCUCAGUGGGAGUUAACUAUGCAAACACAGAUGACAGAGGAAGGGCAUCAAAUUAUGAUGGAAUAGUGUGGACACAUGUAGAUGCAAGAAACAGCCUUUGUGUUUCACAAUUCUAAGAAGUUCCGUUAACAUUUUAUUCUGUGUGCACCAAUUUUUGCAGGACAGCAAUCAUGUGGGAAACAGCAUAAUUUAAUUUCAUUAGAUUUUGGAAAAGAAAGAGCUGGAGAAGCCUACCCGUAGAAGAAUGUUCUGGAUUUUAGAAUAAUUAACACAAUGCAGGGGAUUCAGAUAUGGGAAGGAUGAAGUAAGAAUACUCCAUCCUGGAUUUUCCAUGGAAAGCAGCUAUAAAACCUGGACUGAGUGAAUGGAGAAGAUACUUUGAGUACUCUAAAAAAUAACUAGUAGCAGGAGGGGUGGCGAAGAAGGCCAAAAUUCAAUGUAUCACUGAAUCAGCAGUGAGUUUUUCAUUCUUUUUUACUUUGGUAUCCACGUGGCCUGGUGCAACCCACCCCAGAACAUGAAAGAACUCAAGAGAAGUACUCUCGUUACAGCUUGAGUAGUAAGGACAGAUUUCCUAAUGGCCAGAGAGAAUACAGUAAAUGCUUAUUUGCAAAAUAUCUUAUAUUUCAGCCUGUAGCUUCUCACAAACACCUAGAAUUCUGAGUAGAAGCUUCCUGUUGGAUACAGAAGCUGUGCUUUGAAGAGGGAGGAGAAAACUCUUAUUUCUAUACCCCCACCCCUACCUUUUCUGUCCUCCACAGCUUAACCCCAGACCUGUGCACAGCAAAGGGGAGUAUGGAAGACUCCGGUGAAUAAAUCAGCUUUUAGAAUAGUAGGCUAAAAAGAGGGGUCCUAGGAAAUGAGAAGAUUUUGAGAUUUCAGAGAGGAAGGACUUCCAAAAAUUCACCUAAAAAUUAUUUGUGAAUUUCUGGACACACCCCAAGCUGUGCAUGCAUGGAUCUACUAACACUAAAAGCUUAAGAUUAUCCAUAUGGUUUAAGCAAGACUUAGUAUCUCAUAAGGUAAUACUCAAAAUAUCUACAACACAAUCCAAGCAUUACUCAAUAUAUAAAGUAUCAGGAAAAUCUUAACUUGAGAGAAACAGAAAAUCAACAAAUGCUAGUUUGAAUUAUCUGGCAGACUCAAAAUAGCUAUUUUUAAAAUGCUUCAGUAGGUUAAGGUAAACGUUGUUGAAAUAAAUGGGCAGGUAGAAGGUCUUAACAAAAACAAAUAGAAGAUAUAAAGAAGAAAUGACUGGAAAUUAAAAACAGAAAAACACAUUAACCAAAGUAAAAGUAUCACAGAAGGGGCUUACUAGCAGAAUGAAUAUGCUAGGAGAAAAAGUCAGUGAACUUGAAAUAUGUCAUUAGAAUUUAUUUAAUUUGAAAAACACAGAGAGAAAAGAUGGAGAAAAAGGAACAGAGUCUCGGAGACUAAUGGGAAGAUAUAAAAAUCUAACAUUUAUGUCAAAGAAGUCCCAGAAGGAGAUGAAAAAUAGUGUGCAGAGAAAAUAUUUGAAGAAAUAAUAGUAAGAAAGCCUCUCAAAUUUGACAAAACCCAUAAACUUACAGAUUUAAGAGGUUGAACAAACUCCAAACAGAAAACAAACGAACAAACAAACAAACAAAUUCACACUUGGAGACAUUAUAAUCAAGCUGCUGGAAAGUAAAGAAAAAAUAUUGAAGACGACAGAGAAAAUGAUGCAUUACUUAGGAGAGCAACAAUUUCAAUGACUGUAGAUUUCUCAUCAGAAACCAUGGUAGCCAGAAAGAAGUAAAAAAAGCAUUUUUAAAGGGCCUAAAGAAAAACACAGUCAAACUCCAUCGAGUGAAAAAUUCCUGCAGAAAUGACAGUGAAAUAAAGCUGUCUCAGAUAAAGAAGAACUAAGAGAAUUUGUUGCCAGCAGACUUCCUCUAAAAUAACUGUUAAAGAAUUUUGUUUUCAGAACAAAGCUUUUCUUUUAAAAAGAAAACUAUCGUUAACAUUUAGCUAUAUUAGUAUCAGACAAAGUAGACUUCAGAGCAAAGAACAAUAGGGAUAAAGUGAGACAUAACAUAAUGAUAAGGUCAAUUUCUCAAGAAGCCAUAAAAGUCCUCAAUGUGUAAAAUAAGUACUGACAAUAGAAUUUCAAAACAUAUGAAACAAAAUUUGACAGAACUGAAAGAAGUAUACAAAUCCACCAUUAUAUUUAGAUGUAUUACCUCUGCUCUCAGUAAUUCAACCUCCGUUCUCAGUAAUUGAUAGAUUCAGUGGAUACUGAGUCUGCAAGGAUAUAGAAAAACUGAACAACAUCAUCAAAGCUGGAUGUUUUCACACUGACGUUUUACAUAUCAACCAACAACCGAAGAAUGUACAUCCUUGUCUUCAAGUGGACAGAGAUCAUUCACCAAGAUAGAAUGUAUUCCAGGUCACAAAACAAAUUUAAAAAUUAAAAUCACUUGAAAUCA
ensembl:lncRNA novel transcript